AGCAGUAAAAAUUAUUUUUUGUCACUUAAGUGAACAGACUUUGACUACAUGCAGGGAGCAGACCUACUGAGUAAGAAGGAGACAUUUUACCCAAUCACUUUAAUUGUAGAAUCCCAUUUUAAUUAGGUAGAUGAGCAGCAUUUUUCAGAGAUUUUUACUAAGGAAAACAUGCAGCCAUCUCUAAAACAGUCAAUGCUCCAGUCAGUAUCAGUUAUUACUAUUGUUCUGGGAUUGACUUUAGGGGAGGGGAGAUUUGUCUGUGCUGUAAACCUAAAAAUGCACAGAGAGAAAACACCUGAUAGCACAGGCAGCUACAAGAAACAGUCCCCUGGUUCCUCUCAGAAGCAUGAUCAGGGAGAAGAGCUUGGAUGCACUUUGCUGUAUAUUCAGGUUCAGCAGCAAGAGUUAGGGCUUUUAUCCAGGAAUACCUCAUCUUGAAACUGGGUCUCUGGAUCAGAAAUUGUCAUGAUGCAGGAGAUCACAGGAAUGUAGGAGCAGACAAGGAAGUGUGAGGCAGCAUACAGAUCCCACAAUGGACAACAAGGGAUUAAGGAACUGCUCUGAGCUAAGGGAGCUCCACCUUGCCACACCUGCAAGGCAUGCACAGACUGAAGGAAGAGCUUAAAAGGGGAGCAGAGUCACUCAGUUACUGGAAGAUUAGGGAAGAGAACAAGCCUCCAGCUCCUAAGGAAAGGGCUUUCU